GAUGAACGCUGGCGGCGUGCUUAACACAUGCAAGUCGAACGGUGAACACGGAGCUUGCUCUGUGGGAUCAGUGGCGAACGGGUGAGUAACACGUGAGCAACCUGCCCCUGACUCUGGGAUAAGCGCUGGAAACGGCGUCUAAUACUGGAUAUGUGACGUGACCGCAUGGUCUGCGUUUGGAAAGAUUUUUCGGUUGGGGAUGGGCUCGCGGCCUAUCAGCUUGUUGGUGAGGUAAUGGCUCACCAAGGCGUCGACGGGUAGCCGGCCUGAGAGGGUGACCGGCCACACUGGGAUUGAGACACGGCCCAGACUCCUACGGGAGGCAGCAGUGGGGAAUAUUGCACAAUGGGCGAAAGCCUGAUGCAGUAACGCCGCGUGAGGGAUGACGGCCUUCGGGUUGUAAACCUUUUUUAGCAGGGAAGAAGCGAAAGUGACGGUACCUGCAGAAAAAGCGCCGGCUAACUACGUG
rnacentral:rRNA from 1 species